rnacentral:rRNA from 1 species
GAUGAACGCUGGCGGCGUGCCUAAUACAUGCAAGUCGAACGCUGGAAAUCUAGCUUGCUAGAUUGAAGGAGUGGCGAACGGGUGAGUAAUACAUAAGCAACCUACCCACGAAGACUGGGAUAAUCUCUGGAAACGGGGACUAAUACCGGAUAGGUAAUCGGAAGGCAUCUUCUGAUUAUUAAAGGUUAAAAACACUGGUGGAUGGGCUUAUGGCGCAUUAGUUAGUUGGUGAGGUAACGGCCCACCAAGACGAUGAUGCGUAGCCGGCCUGAGAGGGUGAACAGCCACAUUGGGACUGAGACACGGCCCAGACUCCUACGGGAGGCAGCAGUAGGGAAUUUUCGGCAAUGGGGGAAACCCUGACCGAGCAACGCCGCGUGAGUGAUGACGGCCUUCGGGUUGUAAAGCUCUGUUGUAAGGGAAGAACGGUAGAUAGAGAAUAUCUAAAUGACGGUACCUUACCAGAAAGCCACGGCUAACUACGUG